rnacentral:misc_RNA from 1 species
AAGUCGUAACAAGGUUUCCGUAGGUGAACCUGCGGAAGGAUCAUUAGUGAAUGCCCUCACGGGCUUAUAACUAUUCCAAACCUCUGUGAACCGUGCCCUUCGGGGCUAUUUUACAAACAUGGUGUAAUGAACGUCAUAUAUCAUAACAAAACAAAACUUUCAACAACGGAUCUCUUGGCUCUC